rnacentral:lncRNA from 1 species
AUAUAUAUAUAUGUUACAGUGAAUUUGUAUAAUCAGGGAUUAUGUAGAAUCCCUGAUUUUUCAGGGAAUAUGUAGAAUCACUAAUAUCAUUAGUACUAAAAUAAUUAUAUAUAAUCCCUGAAAAUGACCAGUGAUUUUACAUAAUCACUGAACAUUUUAAUAAUUAUUCUACAAAUUCCCUAAUAUAAUUUCAGGGAUUAUGAAUAAUUUAAGGAUCCUUCGUUUGAUAAAAAAGAGAGAGAACUUACGCGUCUAAAUGUAUAUAAAAACUAAGGAUUGACGAUUGGAACAAAAUUUAAGAGAAAGCUGGCAUUUGUUGUAAUAUUCUCAUAGCAAUUCCACAGGGUAAAAAAGGAAAGGGAAUCCCCAAAAAACAUUCUGAUAAUUGUUCACCAAAAGUCUGAAAAAGGAUAUCGCCUGGCUAAAAAAAACAUUGUAUCUUACUCGAACCAGUUCGAGGUUGCUAAUUCCCUUUUUUGGGGGGUACCUUCAGAUGUUUUAAAUGGACACUUUAUUUCUCUUUAAAUUUGAUUUGAUUGAUAUGUGAAGGAAAAUAUUUUCUUAAAUAUGGAUGUUGUGAUAAAAACAGAUGUGAAUAUAAAAAAGAAGAUGUGGUAUGAUUGCCAAUGAGACAACUGUCCGGCAUACUAUUUUAAUAUAUUGUUUUUAACAUUUUAAUAUAUUGUGCCUUACAUUUUAAAAGAUAGGGUUAUCAUUUUGAUAUUUUGUGCUUAACAUUUUACAAUUUAUGUUUAUACAGUGUAAUGCUGUUUGAAUAUUAUUUUAUUGCAUAAAUUAUUUGACUUUUGUUCAUUUUCUUUAUAAAUAAAACUAUUUCUUCAUUUCAGUUAUUUUGUAUAAUCCCUGACGUUUUUUCUAGUGAUUAUACACAAUCCCUGAAAAUUUUAGUGAUUAUACAUAAUCCCUAAACUGGCCAGUGAUUCUACAUA